AGGCUGGUCACCACCCUUUAGAGGGAGUUGUUGACAGAAGCUCUCAGGCUCCCAACCCCAGCUCAGCAUGUAGCAAGGACCACCGAGUGCCAGCCUGGUUCCCUACGAGGGGCUCGCCCCGGGCAUCCUGCCGCCAUGGAGAGUGUGCUCGGUGGGCGGGAGACAGAUGUGGCUGCGUCACAGAGCAUCUUGGGAAGUGAGGGGCUCUCAGAGAUAAAGACCACGUCUUAGGGAAGAGCAUUUUCCAGACCGGCAGAGCAAGCAGCCGGGAAAGGCCCUGAGAAGAACACGUCCUUGGCGGUUUGGGAGAAUGACCCCGGGGGGCUCGCUACCAGACCCUGGGGGAGGAGUACGUCAGCAUCAUCCAGGUGGACCCAUCGCGGAUACAUGUGCCCUCCUCGCUGCGCCGUGGCGUGCUGGUGACACUGCAUGCCGUCCUGCCCUACCUGCUGGACAAGGCCCUGCUCCCCCUGGAGCAGGAGCUGCAGGCUGACCCCGACAGUGGGCGACCCUUGCAGGGGAGCCUGGGGCCAGGUGGGCGUGGCUGCUCAGGGGCGCGGCGCUGGAUGCGUCACCACACGGCCACCCUGACUGAGCAGCAGA
rnacentral:lncRNA from 10 species